UGCAGAGUAGACGUGUGCGCGUCAAGUGCCCGCCAGACAGGGAGUUGCUGGCAGGACGAAGGGAAUUUCCCGCGGUGCACAUAUCGCAUCCCGCUGCA
rfam:Clostridiales sp. SS3/4 draft genome.